UACGGGGGGGGCAAGCGUUGUUCGGAAUUACUGGGCGUAAAGGGUGCGUAGGCGGUUCGUUAAGUUAGAUGUGAAAACUCUGGGCUCAACCCAGAGCCUGCAUCUAAAACUGGCGGGCUAGAGUUCUGGAGGGGGUAGCGGAAUUCCUGGUGUAGCGGUGAAAUGCGUAGAUAUCGGGAGGAACACCUGUGGCGAAAGCGGCUCACUGGACCACAACUGACGCUGAGGCGCGAAAGCUAGGGGAGCAAACAGG
rnacentral:rRNA from 1 species